rnacentral:rRNA from 1 species
UACGGAGGGUGCAAGCGUUAUCCGGAUUCACUGGGUUUAAAGGGUGCGUAGGUAGGAAAGUUAGUCAGUGGUGAAAAUUCUAAGCCUAACUUAGAAAUUGCCAUUGAUACUGCUUUUCUUGAGUCCGAUUGAAGUGGACGGAAUAUGGCAUGUAGCGGUGAAAUGCUUAGAUAUGUCAUAGAACACCAAUUGCGAAGGCAGUUCACUAAGUCGUCACUGACACUGAGGCACGAAAGUGUGGGGAGCAAACAGG